AUACGGAGGGUGCAAGCGUUACUCGGAAUCACUGGGCGUAAAGCGCGCGCAGGCGGCUUGGUAAGUUGGAUGUGAAAGCCUACGGCUCAACCGUAGAACUGCAUCCAAAACUGUCAAGCUAGAGUGUGGGAGAGGAAGAUGGAAUUAGUUGUGUAGAGGUAAAAUCCGUAGAGAUAACUAGGAAUACCAAAAGCGAAGGCAAUCUUCUGGAACACUACUGACGCUGAGGCGCGAAAGCGUGGGGAGCAAACAGGAUUAGAUACCCUAGUAGUCC
rnacentral:rRNA from 1 species